AAAUUUGCUUAGUAGGAAAGUACUGUGUUGGUGUUAAGUGAUUAGUGGACAGUUCUGCUUUAUGGAAAAUGAGUCCCUCAGUGUGUACUUGCUCAGCUUACAUGUAAAACUAUGUAUUUUCUAGCUGCUGGCCUCCAAAUCAGAUGAGAUGUCAAAUGAGGUUCAUCCUGUCACUUCCAAGAAGUCUGACUCAAAGGAGAGAUGUACCAGGGAGGAGGGUGCGGAGUGAUCUAAAAAUCUGCUGGAGGAUAAGAUGCAGCCAACACUUUUCCUCAGAAGUUCAGAGGAGGCCCCUGCUUGCACCUGCCAGCUCUGUACAGACAGGUACUAAAAUUCACAUCUGAGUGUGUCAGAAAACUGCGCUCAGCUGUCUCAACUUCUGUCACAGGCCUAUCUGCUAUGAGAGGAACCAGCCAAUUAAUCUGGGAUGUUCAGAAGCGCUCGGUUCUGUUGUUCCGAUUCCUGGACCUAUGAGAAGCCUGGCCCGCAGCUUGGCAGCUGAGCGUUUGGAAAGCUGGCUGCCAGCCCCUCCAAAAAUCCGGCCUUGAAUCUGCAAAUAUGCAGCUCAGAAACUACCACAAGCAGCAGCCAAUCUGAUCCCAAGCAUAAGCCAAGUUCAUCACGGCUUCAUGAAAAAAUAACACCUUCUGGGGCUUUUGCCAUGCACAGCAAAAUACAGUGUUGCAGAAAUAUUUUGUAGGCAGCUUUCUGUACAAUAACCUGCUGCUCCACAGGCAUUACUACCCAACAUUGAUCCAGGCAUGUUUUUUCAGCACAGCAUCACAUUUUAUGUUGCUAUCAAGCAGUGUGAUAUGUUUUACCUUUUAAUAUGCUCCAUUGUUUUCUUAAACCACUUCAUUUUUCCUUCAAAUUCCUUUCAGCCGUGGCGAUCUUGUGUUUAAUGGCAUUGUUUGUUUGUUGCAAAACUUCAUAAAUACAGAUGUAUAUGGGUACCUCUAGGCCUUAUUUUUUUCUGUUAACCACCAGUAGAAGUGUAUCUGGACAAAUAGCUAGAUAUUUUCAUGUGUCCCUAAUUUUUGAUGUACAGUUUAGGUUGUACCUAGUGAGGAAUAUCCAAAGCCUCAUUUGUACAUAAGCUCUCUCCCUCUCUAUUUCUCUCCCUUUCACGUUUAAAGUGUGUAGCAACGUGCUGGGCUUUUAUCUUUGCAGAAUUUGGUUCAAACCUGACUUCCACGGUAAGCAAAAUUGAGUUGCAAAAGAUCAUUCUAAUUAUUGAAAGUGUUUGCUUGAUAUUUAGCAUGUUAUAGCAUGAUCAUCCUCAUUUACAGUAUGUUACAGCUGCAGCUUUUAAACUGUGUGCCAGCAGCGCAGUGCCUUCGUAGCUUCUGUAGAUAAAACCAGCAUGAGGGGAGUAUACGUUGCAUAUAACACAGUGUGACAGUUUAAAGGGCAGUAAACUUGGUCCAGAGAAUGAGCAGAUCAUCAUUGGAAGGUGAAUAAUCCUACAUAAUUUUGAGAUGUACUUAUCAGUACAGAAAACACAUCCAAAUGGAUUCUGUCACCUUCUUGUCCCCUUGAAGAAGGAAGGUGUUCACGGAGAAAUGUGGUGGGCAGUCACAGUAGGAAACAGCUCCAUUCGUAGCCUUAGCACCAAGAUACAGAUAUAGGUAACUGAAGGGGGAAGGAGGAGGGAUGCUUUCUUCUGUCUUCAUAUGAUGAAAAUAAAAAGUGAUCAGGAUAGAUUUUUAUUAUCCUCUGGGUGUUAAAAUCCUAAAUGCAAAAUGCAUGACUUAUUAUAUCUAGCCAGCUCUUAGGGGUAAAUAGGCAGUAUGGGGAAUUAGUUGUUGUUAAUUGGACUUCUGAGCUGAAUUCCCAGGGUGCUGCACUGCAAGCAUACCCCUUUUGUUUUAAUAUUGAAAUAGGGAGAGGCCAGAACUGUGAUGGAUUAAUUCCAGUAUAGAACAGCAGAGCACGCUAAAUCAUCUUCAUCCAAAUACUUAAGUUUCAUUUGUUCAACGUAAACAUCUUAGGGGUAAUUUCUACAUGUACUAUAGAAGGUAUUUGGCUUUCCAUUGACCAUCUAAAAAAUGUAAGGCAGAUCUUAAAGCAGCAUAAAUUGUUUAAUUGUUCUGUAACAUAUGACGAUGUGGCUCACUGUUUCUAAAGCCAUUAUCUAAAUAUAUAAAACAUUUGCUAUGAAAUUCGGGCGCUCAGUUCUGUGGCUGGUGAAUUGAACUCUUCAGAAUUGCAUGGCAGUGAACGUACGAUUUUAUUGUGAUAUGAUUUUAUUGUGAUACAAUUUCAUCACAAACAAAAAGGGAAAUCUUGAAAAUUGCCUUUUGUGUUGUUUUAACAAUAUAAUGCGCAGUAUUUCUUCUUACAAAGUUUUAAUAACAAUCACAAAAUAAAACUAAAAA